UUAAAACCUCUUCUUUCUUUCUGCAUGGCAACGUCUGGGAUGGGGAGGCAAGUGCCACUGUGUCAUUAUGGGAUGCAGAUCAAUGGAUCCCAGGUGUGUUGUCUUUACAUUUCAGAUGUAGUCAGGGUGAGGUCUGAUUUGGGUUAGAUUAGGAUUAAGGUUUGCAAAUGAGUUGAAUCUGAUGGUAGAGUGUAGAAGACACCGUGUGUGUGUGUGUGUGUGUGUGUGUGUGUGUGUGUGUGUGUGUGUGUGUGUGUGUGACAGAGACACGUUAUGCAAAUGUCAGGCGGCCUGCCAUCAGCCUGGCAGUUAGCAGGUCGACCACACACAGGCACGCUGCUAGCACAUCUGAGCACAGCCCUUGUGCCCUUGAGCAGGACGAUGCAGCUGGAGAUUACACUUAGAACCGCCGUCACUUCACUGCCUGUGGGAAAUCUGAGUGCUGGGUGUCAGACAGUCUGCUGAGUGAAACUGUCGCAUCUGUUAUCUGUGCCAUCAUCUCUCCCGCCAGAUCUUUAAGCACAGGAAAAUGCUGAAUCGCUGAUACCACAUCAAACAGCAAGAGGAUCGGUUGAGGUUUCCCUCCGCCUGGGUCACAUGACUCAGCACAUUCAUCUGCGCCGCGGCGUGACUGCUUGUUUAAAAAGUGCCGAUGUCACGACCUCUGCCAGAAGGUGGGUGUCCGUGGGAACAGGAUAAAAGAAGAGUUUCAGGAAGAUAAGGAGCCGCAGUCCAGACAACGAUGAGUUCAGACGGUUCAAAGCGAGCAGGAUUAAGACGUCUGAAGCUGCCACCACAAAAAGAUCUUCUGUUAAUCCUUAAUCGUCCUGUGAGCUCAGUAAAAACUGUCUGUAAAUUACAGGAGUUGCUCAUUUUUGAUUCUUUAUCAGUUCACGUGGCAUUUGUGUGCGGCCAUCUUGGCUGAUGACAUCAUUUGCAUCCAGGUAAAACACAACCAGGAAGUGGUUGUGUCAGCUAAUGUCUGCUAGCUGUACGGCUAACUGACCCAACUCCUGUCA
rnacentral:lncRNA from 1 species